GUAACGACUUCCCCGCUGUCUCAACCAUGAACUCGGCGAAAUUGCAUUACGAGUAAAGAUGCUCGUUACGCGCAGAAGGACGGAAAGACCCCGUGACCUUUACUAUAGUUUGGUAUUGGUAUUCGGUGUGACUUGUGUAGGAUAGGUGGGAGACUGUGAAGCGGGCACGCCAGUGUUCGUGGAGUCGCCGUUGAAAUACCACUCUGGUCACUCUGGAUAUCUAACUUCGGCCCGUGAUCCGGGUCAGGGACAGUGCCUGAUGGGUAGUUUAACUGGGGCGGUUGCCUCCUAAAAUGUAACGGAGGCGCCCAAAGGUUCCCUCAGCCUGGUUGGCAAUCAGGUGUCGAGUGCAAGUGCACAAGGGAGCUUGACUGUGAGAGUGGCAGCUCGAGCAGGGACGAAAGUCGGGACUAGUGAUCCGGCGGCUCGUUGUGGAACGGCCGUCGCUCAACGGAUAAAAGGUACCUCGGGGAUAACAG
rnacentral:rRNA from 1 species